rnacentral:rRNA from 1 species
UACAGAGGUGGCAAGCGUUGUUCGGAAUUACUGGGCGUAAAGGGCGCGUAGGCGGCCAUCUAAGUCAGACGUGAAAUCCCCCGGCUUAACCUGGGAACUGCGUCUGAUACUGGACGGCUUGAGUAUGGGAGAGGGAUGUAGAAUUCCAGGUGUAGCGGUGAAAUGCGUAGAUAUCUGGAGGAACACCGGUGGCGAAGGCGGCAUCCUGGACCGGCAUUGACGCUGAGGCGCGAAAGCCAGGGGAGCAAACGGG